GAUGAACGCUGGCGGCGUGCCUAAUACAUGCAAGUCGAGCGAACAGACGAGGAGCUUGCUCCUUUGACGUUAGCGGCGGACGGGUGAGUAACACGUAGGUAACCUACCUAUAAGACUGGGAUAACUUCGGGAAACCGGAGCUAAUACCGGAUAAUAUUUCGAACCGCAUGGUUCGAUAGUGAAAGAUGGCUUUGCUAUCACUUAUAGAUGGACCUGCGCCGUAUUAGCUAGUUGGUAAGGUAACGGCUUACCAAGGCAACGAUACGUAGCCGACCUGAGAGGGUGAUCGGCCACACUGGAACUGAGACACGGUCCAGACUCCUACGGGAGGCAGCAGUAGGGAAUCUUCCGCAAUGGGCGAAAGCCUGACGGAGCAACGCCGCGUGAGUGAUGAAGGUCUUCGGAUCGUAAAACUCUGUUAUUAGGGAAGAACAAACGUGUAAGUAACUGUGCACGUCCUGACGGUACCUAAUCAGAAAGCCACGGCUAACUACGU
rnacentral:rRNA from 1 species